GGCAGGUGUGAUGGGCACAGGGGAGGGGCAGGUGUGAUGGCUACAGUGGAGGGGACAGGUGUGAUGGGCACAGGGGAGGGGCUGGUGUGAUGGACACAGGGUAGGGGCUGGUGUGAUGGGUACAGGGGAGGGGGCAGGUGUAAUGGCUACAGGGGAGGGGCAGGUGUAAUGGGCACAGAGGAGAAGCUGGUGUGAUGGGCACAGGGGAGGUGCUGGUGUGAUGGGCACAGGGGAGGGGCAGAUGUGAUGGGCACAGGAGAGGGGCAGGUGUGAUGGGCAUAGGGGAAGGGCUGGUGUGAUGGGCACAGGGGAGGGACUUCUGUGAUAGGCACAGGGGAGAAGCUGGUGUGAUGGGCACAGGGGAGGGGCUGGUGUGAUGGGCACAGGGGAGGGGCUGAUGUCAUGGUCACAGAGGAAGGAGCAGUUGUGAUGGGCACAGGGGCGUGGCCUUGUGUGAUGGGCACAGGGGAGGGGCUGGUGUGAUGGGCCCUGGUGAGAGGAACAGGUGUGCUUUGGAGAAACCAGCUUUUUCUGCACAAAGAGGAUUCCCCUCAAACACAGAAAAUUAUUCCUAAUAUCUGCCUCCUGGGGACAGAGAACUUCCAGGUGGGAAGCCGAGCAUGAGGCUAAGCAUGUUCCCUGAAGGGGAGGCUGAACCCGGCCUCCAGCAGAAGUUAAUGGAACUGAGACUGGGGCUGUCGUGGGGCUGGAAGCCAAGGCAAAUCUCUGGACCCAGGCUUCCAUGGAGUGGCUACCAGCAUUCCCACUGGUCCA
rnacentral:lncRNA from 1 species